rnacentral:lncRNA from 1 species
AAAAGAAAUUGAAGAUUCUAAGAGCAAGUUUUCAUUCAAAUUUAAAUUAUUCGACUAUUGAAAAAACGAAAAAUGUGUAACAAAGAAAGUAGUCCAUUAUUUUUCUCUAUGUCAAUUUAUUUGUUCUAUUUAAUUUUGAUAUAUUUAAUAUGUGAUGUGUAAAGUUAAAAUAAACAAAUGAAACUUAAAAUAAAAUAAAAAAAUAAGAGAAACAAAUUAGUGACGGGGACGGCGGAGAUUGGGAGUUAUGUGAGAAGCUUUGUUGAGAUGAGUGGUAAAAAUUUUCAGAUGAUGACACGUAUAGGGAGGUGUGACGCGGACGGCGGAGAUUGGGAGAGGGAAGUAUAAGACGAGGUGUUAGACUUGUGUCGUUCCGGAAUUUGUAACGUAUAAACUGAAACGGCAUGAGAAAUUUUGGAUUUUUUUGGGGACCGAUAGGUGAGCUUGGUGUAAUAAUUAUUGUCUUGCUAAAAAACAAAAUUGGUUAAGGGCCCCCUUUAUUAUUAUUAUUUUUCAUUAUAAUUAUAUUAUUAAGAAAAAUGUUCAAAAUUGUCCUUGUCAUUUGUAAAAUAAAGAGAUAAUAUACUGUUGCUCUCCGUUUAAAGUUAAGGUCAAAUGUUCUCGCCCUUAUAAAACUGGCACAUAUUUUAUAUAUAUAUAUAAUAAUAUAUAGAAUUGUUAUAAAAUAAUAAAAAUAAAUAAAUAGGAAAAAGAAUUUCAAAGUUGUCCAUGUCACUUGUGAAAUAUCCAAAAGUUUGGUUUACUGAUUAUUUUAUGUUGCUUAUAUUAAUGACAUUUAUUUAAUGUAAAGAUACAUAUUUGAUCUUAGUUAAUUAAUUUUGAAAAAUCUUAAAUAUUCUUCUCUACUUAUUUCAAGUUAAAUAAUUUUUUAAUAUUUUUGAAGUGUUUGUGUAAAUUUGAAAAAUGCUUAUAAGCUAAAAUAAUUUAAAAAAAAAUCAAUUCAAAAAGACUUUUAAUAAUGAAAUCUUAUAUGAAGGUUAAUAAAAAUCCUAUACGUAAUCUACUGGUGAAUGAAGAAUAUUUACGGUUACCAUCUUUCAAAUUUCAUCAACAACCAUCAAGUAUUAUAUCUCACAUUAAACAAAUACCAAUGAUUAAUAUAAACAUACAUAAAAAUUAAAAUAACUUGUAAACCAAACAAGUAAAGAGACAGUUUUGGACAAUUUCGUAAAUCAUAGGGACAUUAUUAUUGAAUAUUUUGUCUAUUUUUUAAAUUAUUAUAUGACUUCUGUUAGCAGAGUUGGUAAAUGAGACGAAAUAUAUGUCAGUUUUGUAACGUCAAGAGUAUUAGUUGAUCCCAACUUUAAAUGAAUGGCAAGAAAAUAUAUAUUUUUUUACAAAUAAGAACUACUAUAUAUUAUGCAUAUAGCAUUCUGAACAACCGAGUAACUUAAGCUUUCCCUUUAGCAUCUUUCAAAAUCUCUUCCACAUGUUUGUUCCAAUCUAUAGCAUUAACAAAAGGCGAAGUCAGAAUUUUAACCUUAUGAGUUUUGAAUUUAU